rnacentral:rRNA from 1 species
UACGUAGGGGGCAAGCGUUGUCCGGAAUCAUUGGGCGUAAAGAGCGUGUAGGCGGCCCGGUAAGUCCGCUGUGAAAGUCCAGGCUCAACCCUGGGAUGCCGGUGGAUACUGUCGGGCUCGAGUCCGGAAGAGGAGAGUGGAAUUCCUGGUGUAGCGGUGAAAUGCGCAGAUAUCAGGAGGAACACCUAUUGCGAAGGCAGCUCGCUGGGACGUAACUGACGCUGAGACGCGAAAGCGUGGGGAGCAAACAGG